GGCCCGGUAGCUCAGUUGGUUAGAGCGUCGUGCUAAUAACGCGAAUGUCGUGGGUUCGAUCCGUAUCCGGCCCA
rnacentral:tRNA from 1 species